rnacentral:misc_RNA from 1 species
UUCUCAGCUGUUCCUCCAAUGUUCCCCACUCCACCACCUCCUCCAGCGCCCUGGAAACCCUAAGCUGCCUGUAUUUUUUAGUUAAAGUGCGUCUUAUGUGACUUAUGGUUAGAGGAAUUAGCUGCAGCAGAUCUUUGAACUUAGAUUUGGAAGUAAUGGUAAUGCAAAAUUGAGGAAGAAGAUGAGGCAUAGGAAACAAUGC